CUUGUGUUGGUAUUUGGACACACGAGAAAAAUACACAGAGACACCUCUCCUGUUAGUUGAACUAUCCCUCCAGCCAAAGAAAACUCAGUCCUUUAAAGAAAGAAAAGAGAAAGAAAAGACAAUUUUCACAACUCUCUUCGACAGACCAACAGUUUAACUGAGAAGAUGAAAGGCUUGACUGAGCUUGCGAGCCUUCAGCGGUUUGCCUUCAUUCUGUGUGUGCUGGCGAUCACUAUGUACAGGUAAUUUUGAGUUAAGGAACAAUAGGACAAAAGCUCAGUGAAUGGUUAUGGAUUUUCCUCAGCAUAAUAGCUAGUUGGUGAAAUGUUUGUAAAAAGACACAUGGAGCUGUGGACAGAAAACAGUGGUGCUCAUUC
rnacentral:lncRNA from 1 species